rnacentral:rRNA from 1 species
UACAGAGGGUGCAAGCGUUAAUCGGAAUUACUGGGCGUAAAGCGUGCGUAGACGGUUAUCUAAGUCGGGUGUGAAAUCCCCGGGCUCAACCUGGGAAUUGCAUUCGAUACUGGAUAGCUAGAGUUCGGCAGAGGGAAGUGGAAUUUCCGGUGUAGCGGUGAAAUGCGUAGAUAUCGUAAGGAAGACCAGUGGCGAAGGCGGGUCUCUGGACAGUUCCUGACGCUGAGGCACGAAGGCCAGGGGAGCAAACGGG